UGCAGCUCUGCGUCCCCUUCUGGAUCUCCCCACCUCUUCAUACAGCUUUUCACGGCGACUUGUAUAGUGGCACUUCUUACAUCGGAUGGAAAGGAUCCAUGCCAGGCCUCGUUUUUCCUCCCCAUGCUGGUUCCAGUCCAGUGAACCAUUACAGUCUGGAAACUUCUAGCUGCCUGGUCUUCUAAGAGAAACUCCAUUCUUUGAUGACUGAUGGAAAAGCCUCAUCACUCCCUACUGCUAAAGAACCACUUAUCUUAAUCACCAGCCAUUUAUCAGUGAUCACUGUUAUCAAAGCUCCAUGGUGCGCAUGAUGCAACUUCCUGGAUGUUUGUCAACAUGUGAAACCCACGUGUAUUUUGAGGUAGGUGUGUUUACUGUCAAUUUUCUCUCUUAAAUGCCGCAUAAGGCGUCUUUUUUCUGAUCUCAAAUUUUUGCCCAAGAAUUAAUUUUUAUUUUCUCUUUCAUUAAUAGCCGUGUUUCGAGUUACUCCGGAACACAGUGUUUAUUCUGUGUUUAGUCACGCCGCGUCAAAAAUGUUCCACAGGGUUACUUCCGGUUUAUCGUUGUUUACCUUUGUUUACCAACAGUCGACACUUCGUGUAUUAGGCCUAGGCUUAAUUUUGUCAAUCAUCAUGAAAUUGAAAUACACAUUUAAUAGUUUGGGGUGUAUGCGGUACAUAUUUGUUUAUGAGCGUUUGAUAAGCUACUAUUGAUCUACGAAAUACAACGAAAGACUUCGUCAAGAACAGAAGAAGACGAUGUCGUGUAACUCGCACAAGGCCCAGCUGUCUAGUAACCGGAGGGGUAAAGGAAAAGAACGUAUUAGACUCACUGAAACCUGUCAAACAGGUAUAUGGGAACAGGAUCAUUUUCCAUGCCUUUCACUUGAGGUCUUCAGUUUCAUCAUUAAUCAUCUGAAUGUCGGUAUGCCAAACUAUCAUGAUGUCAUGCCAUUACUGGAUAUUCCUUAACACUGGUUUAUUUAAGCCACACUACCUAUAACAUUGCCAAAAUAUUAGACUGAAAAUUUUCAAAUACACAAGAUUUGAAGCAGCAAAAGAAAAGAAUUACAUAUGUAUAACACACAAAAAAGAAGAAAUUAAUUCUCACCUGGCUGAUAUGAACUUUUUACUCCUUUUUAGCUCCCUUUCACUGCAUACCAGCCAAUAACUAGCAGUCAUUAUAUGCAGAUCAGCCAUUGUUAUCAACCUGUGUAUAUAUAUGUUGAAUAAAAUAUGAAUGAAAA